rnacentral:pre_miRNA from 1 species
GGGAGGAAGCUCCGGAUCCCGGGCUGUGUCCCGGCGCCCUGUGCUCCCGGGGCCUGCGCGGCUGGAAUCGCGCUCCCGGGCAGCGCAGCCCCCU